GUGUUUGCUUUGGCAGCACUUAUACUAAAAUUGGAACAAUACAGAGAAGGUUAACAUGGCCCGUACACAAGGAUGACACGCAAAUUUGUGAAACAUUUCAUAUUUUU